CCUACGGGUGGCAGCAGUGAGGAAUAUUGGUCAAUGGACGAGAGUCUGAACCAGCCAAGUAGCGUGAAGGAUGACUGCCCUAUGGGUUGUAAACUUCUUUUAUAUGGGAAUAAAACGUUCCACGUGUGGGAUUUUGUAUGUACCAUAUGAAUAAGGAUCGGCUAACUCCGUGCCAGCAGCCGCGGUAAUACGGAGGAUCCGAGCGUUAUCCGGAUUUAUUGGGUUUAAAGAGAGCGUAGGUGGAUUGUUAAGUCAGUUGUGAAAGUUUGCGGCUCAACCGUAAAAUUGCAGUUGAAACUGGCAGUCUUGAGUACAGUAGAGGUGGGCGGAAUUCGUGGUGUAGCGGUGAAAUGCUUAGAUAUCACGAAGAACUCCGAUUGCGAAGGCAGUUCACUGGACUGCAACUGACACUGAGGCUCGAAAGUGUGGGUAUCAAACAGGAUUAGAUACCCUAGUAGUC
rnacentral:rRNA from 1 species